AGGGUUUGACAUGUCGCGAACUUCCUGGAAACGGGAAGGUGCCUUCGGGAGCGCGAACACAGGUGGUGCAUGGCUGUCGUCAGCUCGUGUCAUGAGAUGUUGGGUUAAGUCCCGCAACGAGCGCAACCCUCGUUUUUAGUUGCCAUCACUUAGGGUGGGCACUCUAGAGAGACUGCCGGUGACAAACCGGAGGAAGGUGGGGAUGACGUCAAGUCAUCAUGCCCCUUACAUCCUGGGCUACACACGUACUACAAUGCUAUAGACAAAGGGCAGCCAACUCGCAAGAGUGAGCAAAUCUCAUAAACUAUGGCUCAGUUCAGAUCGCAGGCUGCAACUCGCCUGUGUGAAGGAGGAAUCGCUAGUAAUUGCAGGUCAGCAUA
rnacentral:rRNA from 1 species